ACGUUUCAGAAUUAUGGGAUAGCUCUACCUUUGAGCAAGGGCCUUGAGAACAAUAAAGGAGGGGUCAGAGCACUGAAAUCGGAAGGGAUAGAAAUAGCAAGUCUCGUGAUUUUGUGAUUCAGCUUGAAUUUCGGGGAUGGGUUGGCCGUUUCUUUGGCUCCUUAUUUUUCUCAAAAGUUUGAAUGAUUGAAAGAUGAAAAGAGCUGCUUUGCUCCUCUGACAACCAUUCCCUAUUAUUAUCCCUGCGGUUGGAAAAACCCCAUGGUUAAAAGUUCUCCAAAUAUUAGAUUAAUCGAAAGAUGUCCUUCUAAUGGAAUUAGAAGCUCUACGAUGCAAUCGAUCGCACCAUACGAUUCAAAUCUUGUGCCCCCGCCGCCUCUCACCCAGACAAAUGGUGCCCGUUCAGAUGCUCGUGACUCUCCGCCCAACCCCACUGGCGCCUUUUCGUUCAUUUCAUAUUUUCAGUCACGCAUGGAGCGCCACACUACUGUUGCUCUGUUUCUGCACGGCUCCAUUUUUUGCUCCCAUCUUUUGCGUACAAACUGCUCGAUCAAAAGCCUAACCCAAUUAUGCCUUCCUCCAUCUUGCCAAUUGAUCGCGUUCCUCAACAACUGCGAGCACGCCCGUUUCUUCAUGAUCUUCCUGUCUUGUGACUUUGGGUGACAGCCAUUUCAUUGAUGGGUUUCUAUUUGAACUUUUGCAAUUUUACAGGGUGCGUUAUGGCAGACUUGUAGUUCGGUGCGUUGCUCUUGGUACACCUGUUAUUUUAGAUUACAUGGGUAGAGAGAUUAGCAGAUGAGAGGACAACAAAGCACCAGAGCUUGAGCAGAAGCUGGCAUUUUAUGAGGUAAAACCAAACUUGAUCAGCCUUCUUUUCUAUCUUUCCUGUCAAACUACCGUUGUGGCUAUAUAAUUCGUCUUUUAGUUUUUUGGUUAUAUAAUUCGUCUUUUAGUUUUUUGGUUAACUGGCUUGUGUCAUCAGGUUGAAAAUUCAUCCUUACCUCAAUAACUACAAGCUCUUGGUCUUUGUAGAAAAAAGAAGUUUCCUGAAUAGAAAAAACAAGCUAUUCAGGCUUAAAAUUUGUGAUGUGCAGCUUAUUUAGCAUUUCAAUAUUGUCAACUUCGCCUUAUGUCUGGUUAUCCUAUAUAGACAUUCUGAGGGAUUGUUAUGAAGAGCUACUUUUAGUGUAUGUGAUCAUCAUACUAUAGUUAUCUAGAUGUUAUAUUUCCUGACUUCAUGCUCCUGAUUGACUUUUUAUUUGCCUUGAGAUAUUUUUGAUCUUGCAUGACAAACAAAUCCACACGAAGGCAAUAAUAGAAUAGGUUAAGAUCUGAGAGCAUAGCAGCAAGAACCUUCACUUCUCCCUCUCUCUCUCUCCCCCUCUUUCUCCAUGUUUAACCAUCAUCUUCUCAUGUUUUCAUUCAACCUUUUUUAAAUCUUUUCUUUAUUACAGUAGACCAAACUGUGCUAUAAAUCAAUCAUUCAGUUUUUCAUGCUCGAAUAGUAAUAACUUCAAUCUCAAAACAUGAAGAUGCCACCCAUUCCCUCUUUGUGUGCCUCCUCUUGCUUCACUGUUGUGUGCUCCCGUUCCCUCUUUGUCGUGUGCACAUUCACCCCACGCUCUUUGAAUGGGGAAAUCCUCUGCAAAAUAGAAAGUUAUUUAUCAAUCUUCACUGCCUUCGUUGCCGGUAUUCUGGAUUAACUGAUCUUAGUUUCAUUUUUUUUUUUGUAAUCUUCCGGUUGAUUUCACCUCUGGAGCUGUAUGUAAUAAUAUUAAAUGAGGCUUGGUUGUUUAUGUAAACAUUAUCAUGUCUGUAUUGGAUAUAAUGAAAAGUUGUGCUUCAAUUCA